rnacentral:lncRNA from 1 species
AUUUACAAUAUUCUUUUCACUAAAAGUUCCCAACAACAAUCCAAUAUAAAAGAUCAAGACAUAACAUCACUUGAUAAGAUAAUACAAUAGGUACUAUUACAUAAUACCAAUGGAAGAGACAAAUAAAUUAUGAUAUGUUUCACUUAAUUAAUGUGCUGAACUCACUUGAUCAUCAAAGUUCUUCAAAUUCCCUUUAGGAUUCUUCUCAAAUCUCUCAAUUCUAAAGUGCAUUAACUCCACAUCUUUUGUUUCUCCAUCCAUAACAAGAUCAGCCAAAAUUUUCCCCACAAUUGGUCCCAUUUUGAACCCAUUCCCAGAAAAUCCACCAGCAAUCACUACAUCCUCACCAAACUCCCCUCCAAGAAAAUCAAUCACAUAAUCCUCGUCCGGGGUCAGGGAGUACAUACACGACUGCGUCAUGACCGGCCUUGUGGAGUCCACGAGGCCUCCGAAUACCUCAUGGAUCCACUUUCUGAGUGGAUCCAGAGUCACUGUGGGCGCCCAGGUCCUUUCAGUCGGCUUGCAGGGGCGCCCACCAUGCACCGGAAUUUUAAUCAAUCCCGGGUACUCAAGCGACGGUGUGCCGUAUAUGUACGGCUCACCAUAGCUAGCAAAAGUUGGAAAACCAUUAUCAAUAGUGAAUUUUGACUCAUACCCUUGUUUAAUUUUCCAAUACAUCACAGUUGUCUCCAAAGGUUGAAUUGGAAGUACAACUCCUGACACAUUUUCAACUAACUUUUUCAUCCAUGGACCCACUGUCACAACACAUUUUUUACCCCAAAACUCCUCACCACUUUUCACACUAACCAAAACACCCCCUCUUAAACUAUCUUUGUUGAUUUCAACAACUUCCAUGUUGUCUUUCAAGAAUGCACCAUUCUUGAUAGCAAGUGUUUGAAACAUGGACACUGCUUUUGUAGGCUUAAUAACACCACCAUACUCAGUAACAACACCUAUUGAAUUCUCAGGCAAUUGGAUCAAUUGAUGAAAUUCUUGAACGACUGUGUGAUGAUCAACAACUCGAAAAGGGAUUGAGUUUUUCUCACAACUCGAUAUGACAGCUUUAAGAGCUUUGUGAUCAGAAGGUCCACAGUCAAACUGUGAAGUCUUGAAGUAG